GGAGGAAAAUGCAUUUAUAAUCUUUUAUGAUAUUGUGUCAAAGAAUGAUGCUUAUUGCACUGCUCCUGAGCUUCAAGCAACAUGUUAGGAUUUUCCUUCACUAGAAUGUUAAUGCAUGUGAAAAUCUAAAGUCAGUGUGUGGAAAGAACAAAUGCAAUGUUGAAGUUGUGUGUUCAGGUAAGGCAAAAUCAAAUUUGCUUUUUUAAUGUCUCAACAAUGUUAUAUACAGUCAUAACUGGACCUGAAAAGAAAUCUUAUUCCUGCAACAGGCUGCUGACAUCAUUAUGUGCUGCCAAAUUCUUGUGCCCUUGUACGUUUAGCCUCAGUCUGCAUGGCUGUUCUGCAGACAUGGGAACCACUAUGGGAUAUUUUCCUUUUGUGGGAGUUCUUGCAGGUCGCCUGAAGUGGAGGGAGAUUCUGAAGGAUUGUUGUGGCUAUAGGAACGCUUACAAUUUAGUUUUAUUUUCAACUAGACAGAUAAUGUUAUUUUUCUCCUUUAUUUACAACAGAAGCCCUAUAGUUAUGAAUCAAAGUUCAUUACUGUCAGUAAACCCGUGGAAGGCUAGUAGAAGGAGUUAUUAACUUUUUAAUCAACAUUUUCUUUAAGUAAAAUAUACACAUGAGUGAAGUAGCAGAGAUACACUGAGCCAUGACUUGGUGAAGCCUCACACGUGGGGAUUCUGGAGGAAAACUUCUCCAGCGUUCCACGCUUGAAGCUGCAGGAGAGCUAGGGAGGCUCAUGGGGCUCCUAGUGGCUGCUAGUCCCUUGCCCAUCUUUGGUUUCCUUAGAGGAGAGGACAACAUCAUGGCCGAAAUAUGGAUUGCGAUGCAGAUCCAUGCUGCAGGAUUCAAAAUUUCCCCAAAUCAGAAACACUAGACACUCUUAAAAUGACUUUAUAAGUCUUAUUUUCUUACCUCAUUUUAACCUCCAUAAAGCUUUAAUACCUCCUAGCAUAAACUACAGUGUGCAUUCAGGGGCACCCACAUCCUGAUCCAAGAUAAGAAAUUGGGUCUAUGACAAAUAAAUAGGCAAUAACUCUUAUUGCCUAAUCAAAAUAUUCGGAGCUUUUACAUUUUGCAAGGUUGACUUGCCAAAGGCUUCCUCAAACUGCACAUGCUGCUGCUUUGUCUUGCUUUUAUGCUUUAUUGAAUUCCAUUAAAAGACAAACAAAUCUCACAGUCAUUAGGCACCUCGCUGACAACACCUGUCAGUCUGUCACUCCGAGUCACAGGCAGCUACCUUGGAGCUUCAUUUGGCAGAAUUAGGAGGAAAAUAGAAAGAAACAUAUCUGGGGCACCUGUUCUCUGCAAUGGAGUGAUGCGAUUAUUAUUACCAAAAGUGAACUCAAUGUGCUACUUAAAGAAGGUGGAUGACAGGUACUGUUGCAAGCCAGUUGCGCUAAUCAAUGCUGUUCAUCAUGUUCAUGGAUUUUCAAACAUUUUUCUGAUUUCUUUAACUGGAAGAAGGCAUCCACAUUGCUAGUGUUCAGUUAUUCACACCUUGGAAACAUGCACACAGAUUAAAACACAAAGGUACACUCUUCAGCCAUUAGUUGGCAGUCACCUAGAUUGUGUUUGUGACCAGAGUCAUUCUCUCUACCUUUCUUAAAAAUAUCACACCCAUUUUUAGGAAGGGUAGAAAGGAUGACCCAGAGAACUACCAACCUGUCAGCCACACCCCAGCGCCAGGGAAUAUAAUGGAGCAGAUUCUCCUGGAAGCUAUGCUGAGGCAUUUAGAAGAGUGGGAGAGGGUAUGGGACAACUAGCAUGGCUUCAUCAAGGGCAAGUCCUACCUGACCAACCUAGUGGCUUUCUGUGAAGGCCUAACUACAUCAAUGGAUGAGGGAAGAGCCACUGUUGUCAUCUAUCUGGACUUCAGUAAGACCUUUGAUGUGGUCCCCACCACAUUCUUCUCUCUCAAUUGGAACGAUAUGGAUUUGUCAAGUAGGCUGUUUGAUGGAAGAGAACAUGGUUUGAUUGAAUAGCACCUGAUUGCAAGGUCAUACCCAGAGAGUGGUGAUCAAUGGAUCAAUGUAAGGAUUGAGAUCAGUGAUGAGUAGUGUCUCUCAGUGUCAUUAAAGGGACUGGUGCUCAUUAAUAUCUUCAUCAAUGACAACAACAGUGAAAUUGAGUGCACCUCCAGCAAGUCUGCAGAUGACAUCAAGCUGUGUGGUGCAGUCAUCAUGCCUGAGGGAUGGGAUGCGAUCCUGAGAAAACUAUACAGGCUUGAGCAGUGGGCCUAGAUGAAACUCAUGAGUAACAAGUGCUACUUUAAUCCCCAGAGAUUUCAUUUGCUUUAGAAGAGCUAUUAAGAGGAUUGUGGAAAUUUCCAUUGUAAGACAUUUUGCUCCAAGAUGGAAGGGGUUAUUAUUGUACAAAGUGCGUACAGAGGGAAAGCAUCUCUUCUGCAGAGGUAAAAGAUUAAAGGGUUUGAAAGCAAACAGUACAGAUACUUUUUCGUGAAAGAUUUGCAGGAGCUGUAAGUAUCUGGUUUUGUUGGUCUCCUAACUGACGUUGUUCCAACAAUUACUACUUAGUGACCUGCAUGUUCAAUGAAGCCUUGUGGUUUUGUCUUCUGCUUCCAGUUAAAACUUUCCUUGGUUUCAGUCUCAUUUUUAUUUUGGGUUAUAGGAUAUAAAAUGGAAGAGAUUUCCAGUGAGUCUGCAUUACCUUAGUUUCACUGAAAAUCUAUUGCCUAUCUCUGCAGCUCCUUGAUGCCACUGAGCAAUGACAUCUAUGUUUGUUUGUUUGUUUUUAUGAAAAUUGGAGCAUUCCAAGUCAUUCUGAUCUUACUAAUGGGAAAACAGGGCAAUAUCCAAUGCUUUAUGAAAUCUAUCAGUUAUGAAUAAGUAAAAUUAGGGAAUAACUUACAUGCAUACAAAGUGAAAGGAGAUAGUAUGCAGAGUAUGGAGAAACAACAAAGAAGUUGCAUCAGAAUAGAGCACAUGCUAUUUGACUUGUUUUUGUACAUGUGGAUCUAAAAUUGAAAUUUCUUCCUUUCUUUCCACUAAUUAUCUGUUAUAGAUCUAUUACAAGUAGUCCUGACAUACAUAUAUCUUCAGGACCACAGCAUUUCUAUUAUUCUUUAUGUAUUUAAUUAGGGAUGAAGAAACUCAGUAAUGUGUAUGGCUGGAUGCCAUCAGCAGUCUGGAAUGGACUUAACCUGGCUCACCUUUAUCAAAGCCAAAGGUAUACUGAGUGAUAACUUCCUUGAAAGCAGAUGAGGCUCCUGUGGCAUGGUCUCUGCAUGCUUAUCCUGCCAUCCCUUUCUAGCCUUGUAUUAUAAUAGAAAACUGCUUUGUGCUGUCAUCAUCACACUUCCAUGCCUGCUGAAUGUCCAGAUCGGUUUGCUUCCUAAGUAUUGCUUGGGUUGGCUGAGCCAUCACGAUGUGAGUUAGCAAAGAUAAUAAAAACCAUCCAGCUUGAGGAUAGCACAGUGGCUCUGGAAUUGAAAAAUAAUCCAUCUCUGCACUCAGUACAACUUCUGCAAAGAACACUGAAAACUUUAUUAUUUAAUCUCAUCUGUUCCGUUGUUGGUAUACAAACCACUUGUACACCGUUCCAUUCAUUGCAUCCCAGACAAUGGGAUGUGUUUUGCUUUUCCAGACAAUUUCAUGUUAUUGUUCUUUCUCUAUAUUCAUUCUGAAUUUCCUUUACUUUUUUCAGUUUAUUUUUAAUUUUCUCAUGCAAAAUGAUACCUGUGAUGAAGCCACUGAUGUGGUGAAUCCCUUCCUGUUGGGUGCUACCCAUGGCAGACUCUAAUGUUCUGUGUGAGCCCAGGGAGGGUCUCUACAUCUUAGCUUUAGUAGCUUGGUUGGCAAAUAUGAGCUGAGUUGCUGAGAUGAGAAAAAAUAACAGUUAAAGCUCUUUUCUUUUAAUUAGCAUCUGCCAGGCUAAUUCCUGCCGCUCAUUCCUGAGCUCCUUUGUCUCCACGAAGCAUUGCGCUCUCUCCCAGGGUGAGGUGCCAAUUUUCCAGGGGUAUUGUUGUUGACCUGAAAUGAAGGUGGAUGCGACUCUAAGUGCUGUUUCUUUACAAGAAAGGUGCCUUUGUGUCUGAAUGAAAACAUCAGCAUUACAUGGCUCUUUCAGUGGAGUUUCGCCUGUUGAUCCUGUAUUAUUGGGAGCAGAAUACCGGCUCUGCAGAGGGAAUAAAGGCUUGCUGUGGUCAUAAAAGAUGAGAUGGCUGUGGGAGCUUGGAAACCAAUGGAGACGUGCUCCUGAUGCAAAAGUCUCUGAAAUCAGAGGAAGCCUUUCUAUUUAUUUCCAUGGGUCUUGGUCCAAAUCCCUUGGUAAAAGCACCAGGCUGCCCGUAAUCACAGGCUGGUGGCUAUGACAAUCUGAAGCAAAAAUAUGAGUGGCUGUACAAGGAAUGGGAUCAUGGAUGAUUCAGUGGAAAACCUUUGUGCUGAGGAAUGGUCUUACCCCAAAAUAUCUGACAGUGGUCAUCAGGAUACCUUAUGGCUUGAAAAUCUGCAAGUACUGAAUAGCCUUUUCAUAUUUUUUUUGUUUGUAUUUGUUUUCUUUUAGUAUUUCACAAACCUGAAAUUUAAAAAAAUGUAACCAGUGGUAUGAUGUGAAAAGGGGCUGUGAAGAUAAUAUCUUCUAAUCAGUUACUGUGAAUGAUCUGAAUGUCAUGAGUAGACCUCCGUCCUGGCAUCUGCGUCAGUUGCUAUCCUGUCCUUUUUCUGGAAAAGAAUUUAAUACUAACCUGUAUGCACUGGGAGGAGGGAAAGCUUUCCAGUAGUUUAAGUACUUCCCUGAAAAUAAGCAAGUGGUGAGAUUGCCUUGCAAGAUGGUUUGUGCCAUACAUGGAUUUCUUAAAAAAGCAGUGGUAACAUUCAUGGUAAUGGAUGUUAUGUCCAUGUGUGUGCAUGUACAGCAUCUGCAGGCACUUCUGUUGAAACAGAGCCUGAUGUGGAACACAAAUGAAGGCUGCAUGCAGGUCAGUAGGGAUUCUUCUACUCAGUAUAAGGAGAAAAGACUAGCCACCAAGAAUUGUACGUGUUCAAAGGGGGCUGUGAGAGCAUAGGCAUUUUUGGGUUUGGUUUUGACACAGUAGGAAAUAAAACAUGUUUUUAAGGUUGUCUUAAGGUUGUAUUUUGGCAAAAUGAGGAAAAGGGAAUGGGAUAAUUUUGGAUUGUCUAGAGAAUAUGCUUCAAUCUCUAAUUACAAUAUUGAGCUCUGAUUUGUAUUUUACUUUUUAAAAAUCUCUUUCUGUUUUAAAAUGUAGCUAAAUUAUUAUGUAUCAGAACUGUUCUGAUUUACCAUUAGAAACAUUUUGAGAUUGAAUACUUCAUCUUUUCAGCAUUUUUAACUUAGCUCAGCUUUGCCUUUCCAGGAAACCUGGCCUCAAUACCUGAAUAGCUCUCCAUCAUAAACCUAUCAUUUUCCCACAAACGUGCACUUUGCAGCUCCUUCUGCCUUCCACUGACUCCUUCCAGCAAACUGAAAACUUGACACAACUGUGCUUGUAUGGAGAUGCAGUCCUGGUGCCACAGGGAGAGGAAUGGGAACAACGAUGACCAGCACAACCACACCUGCAUCCAACUGGAAGGAUCUGGGUGCAAGUGGGGUUUACGGCAGCUACGCGAGGCAUUUCCAUGGCACGCAGGAGCUGAGUAUUUUGCUGAAAAUGGAUGUGGAAAAUCUCCCCUGAAAUGCAGUGUGUGAACACGAGGUGGCACUUGGGUCUCGUGGAUGGAGGAACAGACAGCCCAGAACCACAUCCUGCGCAAAAGGAGAGAAUUUUAUUGAUGAGCUGAAAAAAAAUGCUGUUGGCAUAAUGUAUGGACUCUACUUGUUUUUUUAAUGCACGCUCUUUCUACUUAGGAUAGGAGUGCUGCUUGGCUGAAUGCACGAAUGUUAGUUAAUGUUGUGCAGUUCCUAUAGUGAAAGAAUGUAUUGGAACUUCAGGAUAUAUGUGCUGCAGUCGGUGUCACCCCUUAUGCACUGGGAAGGUAUUCUAGAUGUAAUUAACUCGAGUCCGCUCUUUUGGGUUUCCAUCUGCAGUCAUCAGCUGUGUGCAGAUUUGGUGUGGGUUUUCCUUUCUGGUUCGAUCCAAAUUCUGAUUUUUUGGAUCAGGUUCAGCACAAUUAUUUUGCAGCAAUGGGAGCCCUCAGUGGGCUUUUUGCUAGAGCCCCUCCAGGAAGGGGCUUUGCCAGACACACAUUGGCCUCCUGCUGGAGCCGAAGGACUUAACACAAAGCUGCAGAGUUUGUGUGAGAUGCACAUAAAACAUGCUUGAAAGAAGAAAUUCAGCCACAGAACAAUGUUUAAAAGGUGCAUUCAAAAUCUCUCUGUUUCAGAAGAACAUGGCAGAAGCUGUGUCUUGUGCUAUGCGAAGGAUGUUUAGUAAGUUAACUUGAAAAGUCCACAGCAGCCUGCAAAACCUAGGACAGAAAUGCCGAACAUUUACCUCCACCCAAUUUAAAUAAAUCAAGCUUUCAGUUACAAAAUAAUAAACUCAGUCUCAAAGAUUUUAUUCCAGAAGAGGAGAAGGAAUUUCACAUUAGCACUGAGCUCUGAUGGGACACGCUCAUCCAUUACAAUAAAAGCACGUAGAUUUAUGAUAAAUGUAAGCUCAAAAAUGGAAAUGCCAGAAUCAAAAAUUGCUGUGAGACUGCUGCUCCCUGAAUAUGAUCUGAUUGUGCUGUAAACUUGAUUGUGCUGUAACUUUCAAACAAUUAUGAAAACAUUUACAUGCUUUUAUUAGCACUUGUAAAUUAUGCGGGGCUUUUUAAUGUGCAGUCAUAAGCAAGAGGAAAGCCUAAACACACAGUAGAAAUCUUCUGAAGGAAGAAAUUGCAAUGGUCUUUCACUUAAUUAAUGUCACAUUUAGUAGCACAGUAUUUUCAGCAAAGAUUUAGCAUGGAAGGAGAUGAAAAUUGCACACAGAAUCUCAUAGAAUUGUAGAGGUUAGAAGGGACCCCUGCGGAUCACUGAAUGGCUGGGACAGAACUGCAGCAAAAGCAUUAUUGGUCAAAGAAGAAAACAGUUUGGGAAAAGGCAGUGGGGUCGUGUAUGGAGGUUCUGAGUCUUGGUGUCUUUGCUGGUGUUUGCUUCCUUUUGUGGCUCAAAAAUCUCAGCCUUGGCUAAUUUGGUGACAAUCACUACUAACUCCCAUAAGGACAGGAUUUGAUGCUAAACUCUGAAGUGGCUUCAUUUUUGGGUAGUGCAUUUUAUUAAUUCAAAUGACAAUUUUGCCUGGGUUUUGCACCUAGCCCCAAACUUAGGGGGUGUCGUGGAAGAGCUUGACAUAUCUUAAAACUGGUGGAAGUGGGCUGUGUUAUGUAUGAAGUUAUUUGACUGGCCUCUGCAGAGAGCAGGAUCUUCUCUGCCCAAGAAGUCAGCACACACAAACCUGCACAUGCAAUUGCUGUAAAGGAGAAAAUCCUUAGUGAAAGGAUAAGCUACUUUGGAAAUAGCUGAGUCCAAGCAAAGACUGCAAAAGAAAGGUGAAGACGUUUAAAUCACAGGCGUAGGCUUCUCCUUUCUAAUGCAGAAUAGCAACUGAACGCAUUUAAAUAAAAAAUGAUUUGCUGUGAAUGGCUUUCGUUUUCUGCUGGGUGGUGCUGGAGGUGGGCAGGUGAGAUGGGAAGUAGGGACCAUGGGUCAGAGCUCCUGUCUAAAGGUUAGGCGGUCUCUGGGUCCACAGAGUGGCUGCGGGCAGCUAUCAGGUGCUCAGACAAGCAGAAUAAAGACUGUAAGCAAGUAAAAAGAGAAAAAAGUCACCAAGUAUUUAUCAUGCAUAAGGCCAACUUCAACCUGUCAAGAGAAAUAAUUGCAAAAUGAUCCAGUAGCACCCGACUUGCUGAGAUCUGCAUCGGCUCUAACUGGGAAGUAAAUAAUACAGUGAGUUUAAUGGUCUCAGUUACUUGAAUUCAAAUGUUAAUUUAAUGAAAUAACUUAGCUGUCAUAAAUGCCAAAACAUGCCAUUAUCGUACAAUCAUACCUAAGUAACAGCUGAGCAUGCUUUACCCACAUGACUAAUCUGUUUCCCCAUGAUCAGUUACCUGGAGCUGUGAUGCUGUUGAUUUCUGAGGUGCUAUAGGGACACUCAGCUCAGCACUGAGCUCUGUCUGCAAUAACCGUACAAUUUCUCCUCUGUUUGCAGAAGCAGAUCCUCAGAAGGCAAGGUCUACUCUUGGAAAAUGUUUUGUGCUGGCUUUGAUGCAAUGUUCUGUUUUCUCUUUUCAUUUUUCUUAGAAAUACUAAAAAAACUGACCAAAUUAUAGCCUAUGGCAUGCGGUAACAUUUGCAAUGAGAGACUCCAAAGUUCCUCAGACGCAUCCUUUGUGAUGGUUUUAAUAGUCAUUAACAUUAGGUUCGGUUAUCUGUAAGAAGGACCCCUCUUGGUGCUAGUUAGCAGAAAGCUCUGAGCUUCCUGAUGGCCAAGCAGAACUUCCCCUGAAUGGCUCGAGAAUGGGUGCCUCAGCAGGAAGGCAAAGAGUUUGCAGAAGUUCCCAUUUUUUCCCCCCAAAUCUAUGAACUACUUUUCAGUCACAUAUUUGUGCUGACGUGGAGAGUCAAUCCUCGAUGCUGCAAGUCUGAAAACUCAUGAUGGGGGGAAAUAUUUGAAACCAUUAAUCUGCUUAUAGAUAAGCAAAGGUUGAAUUUGGUUUCAAGCAAAGAGAUUAAUGGGUAUUAUACAAAGUAAUGUAAAGUUAUCAGGGUGAGAUUUUACUAUCAGUAAUGACAAUGUUUUUUUUCUCACAGUAUGAAAAAGAUGUAAAAAAUAACAUUUUGGAAAUGAAGUACUGUAUGUGGUAGCAGCUUGGAUUCUCCAGCAGGGGAGCUUUUAUAUCCCCUUAAAUGAAUCUGUUUAUGUUAAUUUUGCUGUCCCGGGACAAGAUCCUCAGAGGAUGUCAGUAAGCAGAGCUCCAUCAGCAUUGAUGAGAUAAUGCAGUUUAUGCAGAAAAAAUUUCCUUGUAAACGUGCUUUAUUUUAAAACAUUGCAUCAACCACUUAAGGUGGGCAGUGGCAUCUCCAGAUGUUGACGCUGACCUUGGUCCUGCACUAAGCAAUGCCUGCAGAUGCCGACCUCCCCAUGGCAGGAGGUCACACUGUGACUGAGCUUUUGGUUUCGUCCUCUUUUUGGCUUCCAAGUCUUCAGGUCACUGUCUGAGAUUUAUUAAAAUGUGUGCUAAAUUGUGCGAAGCUCUGGCUAAUUAUGAUGUACUGAUUAAUUUCAGUAGACAAGUAUGGCAGUUCUAAUGAAUAUUAAUAUUUUUUAGGCUGGUAAGAGGAGCAAGCUUUCUGCAUGGGCAGCCAGUGUGGCAGAGCACUACAGGGAGAUCAACAUCUCCUUGGUGGUGCCCGGUGAGACUUUUAAGUCCUGUUUGCAUCAUUGACUUUGCCAUUGCAGAACGUAAACUGUGAACAGCUACAGACGUUAUGAAUUUUUCCUGCUAAUUAGAAUCCCCCCAAAACCAACACCACCCGAAGAAAGGAAAAAUAAUGUAGUGCUGUAUUUCUGUUUGACUUCACCCACUAUGUAGUAUGAACAACAUGUUACUUACUGGGAGCUAAGCAAUGAGAUUACAAUUAAAUGACUUUUAGGUAGAACAACAGAUUCAUAUAGUAAUUUGGAAUUUAAUGCAGAUGCAGCAUCCUCACAAAUUUGUAUGUAUGGACUACUUUGCUUGCUAGAAGGUAUGAAUGUGGACAUCCCAGAGCCCUGCCAUGGCCAAGCACUAGGCAAUAUUGUGACUUCACUCAAAUGUAGUGAUAUUAGUGAAGAAGGUCUUUUUUUCAAGCUGACAACUCAAUCAUGAGUAAAAAAAAAAAAAAAUUCUGUUUAGCUAAAUUGAGAAGGGAAAUUUUUGGCUUCAAGGAUUUUUGAAACUCAUGGCAUGGAGGUGAAGACUUAAGAUCAGUAAUCAUGGAAGUUGUUCAGGGUCACAUCCAUAGGUGUUGUGCCUAACAGGAGAAAAGUGUUUGGGCUUUGAAUUUUGAGGGAACAUAGAUAAUCUUAUACAUUUUUUUUUCUGUGCGUUCAUUAUACAAGGCUUUGACACAUUCUUGGUAAACUGUUGUCAAUUUUAUAUUUUUCAGUCUUUGAAAAGAAAUGGGUACAUGAUUGGGUCACUGUAACCACUGAAGUACAUGGUAGUUGAAUAAGGAAAACCUAGGUUUUAAUAGGAAAACAAACUUUUCUUCUUUUCUAUAUCAUCUCUUUUCCCAAGGUCAGAGCCCUGGGGUGCCCUUUGGUGCCUCAAAGCUCUGGGGGAGGUGAUUUCAGUAGGAUGGCCACACCUGAAGAUUGCCUUUUGUUCUUUGUUUUCAUGCAUGGUGACUUUUGCAGGUAGUAGAUCCCUUGUGAUUGGAGGUAAUGGUUAAGAUGGUGGAAGGAGCUGGAAUGUGCGAUCUUUGUAAGGAAUGAAGCUGGGAAGAAGCAGCAUAAAGAGGAGUGCAAUGCAGAGGGAAAGUGCAUUUGGGUUUGUGGGAUGGUUUCUUGGAAGCAUCUUUCCCAGCUCAGCACAGAAAAAAUAAAUCUUAGAUUUCACUGCUGAGUGGCAGAGGAAACAGAAAAAAACCAAACCUAGAUCCUGGAGCUCUCCAAUCUGAGCAUGGAGAUAAUUCACAGCAGUGCUCAACACGUGUUUUCUUGACAAAUGCACCUCAAGAUACAGCCAAAAGUUCAUUUGGAGUGGUUGUUGUCUGAAGGUCACUGAAAAACCUGCUGCAAUUUGCUGAGGUUCUUUUGCAGAUCAGGAUGGUGUUUGGGGUGACAGAGCUGGUGCCUGUGACUUGUUCUGUCUUCUGGAACUCCAGCGGAUUUUAUCUGUACCAGAAUUACCCUAGACGUUUUCAUACAAUGAUGUGCAUGUCAGGUAAAUGCUGUUGGCAUGAUUUUGAAGCAUGCAGUCAUGUUUAAGAUGAUAUUCCCUGUCAUCAUCAGAAAGGUGCGCAAUGGAAAAAGACAGAAACGGCCUCACCUGAACUCGCAGCUUCCUUCUCAAAUAACCUUUAAUUACAUAAAACUGCAUGAGUGAAGCUUGCUCAGGUGGAAUCGCUGUCCUUUUCUCAAAAUUUUGGUAUAGAUCAGUACAACCCUAUGGAAGCCAGUAGAAUCACGUAGAAGCAGCUGGCAGACAGCCCAGCAUCGUGUUCGAAGCAUCUAUUUUGAUAGCAGACUGCCAUGGUCGAAAAAGUUUUUUUUUUUUUUUUAAAGAAUAUAUUGACUGCAAAAGCUCUUCUCUUCUGGAAAAAAUCACAUGAGAUUAUAUUAGAGGAAAUUUAAUUAAAUCACCUGAAAUCCUACAAAAGUUCUAAUCCCAGGCCUAUCAAUUUGCUUCUAAAAUUGUCCAUAAAUCUCCUUGGUAGUCAAUUUUAUAAUUCCUAGAAGACAAAAUAAAAAAUGAAUGAGAAGUAAAAUAGGCAAAGGAUUAGGAGUUUUUUUUUUUUCUUAAGGCAGAAAGCUGACCAUGAAUUUCAUUAAUCCUGCUUAAUAUCCUACCUUGACAUUCAUGGUAAGAACUUCACAUUCGUCUACGAUGAAAAAGGAUACAGAAAUGGGGAAAAGAAAUGAAAGGUUGCUAUAGUUGCUUUUAUAAUGUAUGUGGAACAUACUGUCACCUGUAUUGGUUCUAACAACAGCAAGAGAGAUGAAACAACUGGGGGAUGCAGUCCAGUGGAUACAGUUAUGUGCCAGGACAACAUUUCUUGUGGGGGGUGAAAAGUGGUAUUACUGUAAUUGCCACAGCUGAAAUUUAGAGUGUUCUGCUGUUUUUAAACUGAGAUGGACUCAGGGAAUUUGGAAACAAAUUACAGGUUUGCAAAUGUGUCAGAAUGCAGUUUUCUCUGUUAGAGAAUAUGGUCCGUAUAGGGAUAUUUAACAGGAUAACAAGCAGGAUCUUAAAUCUACAAAAUGUGCUGCCGUAUAUGAUUGCAGCAACGCUUAUCAUAAAAGAACAUUUGGGAUGAAUUUCUUAUCCCUCCUGGGCUUUCCCCUUUGACUUGCUGAGUCUUUUGGUCAGAGCAAUGGUAAGUGAGAGGGGCUUUUUAGUGAAACAACCCAAACAACCCACCUCGUCCUGAGAUGAAAAAGAUAUUGCUGUGUGUGAGUGCCAUGAAAUUCUUUAUGAUGAGAGUGGUGAGGCACUGGAUUCUAUGAUUUGAUGUUAUUUUCCACAAAAAAAUGUGUUUUUUUUUCUUUCUUCAUGAAAAUCACAGUAUCACUUGUAUAUGAUUUCCGUUAAUUUAAAUGUCUGUACAUAGGCAGUAAGGAGGUUAGACCUUGCUGCACUGAGGAACAACACAGAGAGAUAAAAACAACCUGUUCUUAGCAGCCUUAAUGUUUCAAAUUGCCACCUGAAACAAUGAAAAUCAGCUUGAAAAGCACAUGCAAACUUUUCCUAGCAACUCUAGUGCAAAAACCCAGUCACGAAGGGUUAGGCUGGGACAUGGGGGACAUGGGGGCAUGGGGGACAUGGGGGACAAACUCCCAAGGUUUCCACCUGGAAGCUGCAGAACUCCUCAGCUCCUUUAGGGAGUGAUCCUUGGCAAUACCUGCAAUGGUAGUACUUUGUCUUCCCAUCGGGAUGUGAUCACCAAUCACAUGUUGGUUUGCCAUGAAGGUAAGCAAUCCUUUAUCACUCUUGGUGUUUUGAUUCUGGAAAUACUUUGUGGGUUGGAUACAGCAAGGCUGGGACACUCCAGCUGCCUCUCAGUAUCCAUAACCACAAUUAAGCUUUUCUAUGGAGCCAGAUGGAUGAAACAGCGGUGCCCAUCCAGAAUCGCUGGCGCAUCCUGCUGCUUCAAGCAGUACAUGAGGCACAAUAAAACCCUCAAAUCAGCUGUUUUUUUGGGCACCCAUGCCCAGUGGUUUGGUGCAGAGGAAUCUGCUGCAUUCAUCACACUGGCUGAGCCUUCUGGUGAAAGGUUGUCUGCCCCUGUCACCAAUUCUGUCUGUUGAAAGUGCACUGGGAGCACUGGUUCAUUGAGCUUGCUGGGAAAGCAAUUGAAUAACACUCUUUUCUAUACCUCCAGAAGGAAAUCCCAUCACUGUGUGGAAAGCAGGAGAGUCAACGAUAAGCCCGCACAUUUGUUUAUUGGACAUCCAGAUAAGGAUGAUAAAUCACUACCUUAGUUUUCCUUUUCAGAAUUGAAAUUGCAGAGAUGACAACCUCCCCCUCUUUCGGAGAUGAUUACUAUGAGGAGAGGGAACUCUACCUGCUUGAUUAAAUGCAACAUUGAUAUAGAUUAUCCCAGCUGUGAGAGAUUUUCAGAUUAUGAUCUUCUUAUUGCUAUCGAUUACUUCUUUUUUUUUUUUUUUUCCUUUCCUUAGAUUUGGUACAUACUUCAACAGCCAGCAUGGAGAAAAUCAAACCCAUUGGCUGCAGUGGUUCCCCUCUCUUUUGUCCAGCUCUCCACCUUGAGCUCAACAGCCACCGGUUUGAGUCCCUUCCACAAAACAGGGUCAGCUCAUGUGGUGCAGCACGGGCAGGGCUGGUGCACUGGGAAGCUUUGAUGUUGAGCGAAGUUAUUUCUGUCCCUAUUCAGAACUUCCUUUGUUUUAGCUAGGCAAAGCUCCUGCUGGAGACAAUGGGACUUUAUGGCACCCAGAAUGUUAAAUAGGGCUCACGCUGAGUGAAACUGCAGCUAGCUUUGUAUUCCAGUCCAUAGCUGGAUGCAACUGAUAUUAUCAGAAGUAUAAAAGAGUGUUCUUUCAAUUACAUGCUUGGUUUUUUUUUUUUUUUUUAAAAAGAGCGUCUAGCUCAAGUAUUAGCAUUUUUCUAUAUCCCUUGCAGUAGGUAGCCGUGCCAUAUUGUGUGCAACAGGGGUGCCUGCGAUCUCAUCACCUCUCCCUGGGUCCGCUGAAGUCAUUGCCACACAGCUUGCUGGAACAGCCUUGCAGAUAUUUGCUGACAAACCUUUUCAGUAUAAUCCUUUAUUAUCUAACCGCAGUCAAGAGCCUACUUCACAUGAAAUAUUUUCUGCUACAGAUGGCAAAGCCUGAGACUGAGCCAAGCCCAGUGCAAAAAUACAUUUAUAUCCAUGCAGAAGCCCUCAGCCAGCCAGCCAGCUUCCUCCAUUUGUCAUGUGCAAGCGGUAUCCUGCAUGGCGUUUCAGAUUCAUUAGAGGGCCAAAUGGACAAAACUGUCAUGUUUCUUAUUAAAAUGUCAUAAUCACACUGCGCAUAAUAAACAUGUUUGUGUGCAUUGAAGAACAAAAGAGGGUUGUGAACCGUAGGUUUAGGUUAUCUAUUGCAUUCCAUCAUCAGAUGUCUUGCUAGCUCAUUACUUUUUACAGCUCUUUUUUUUACAGGCAAACUUUAAAGGCUUUCCUUCAUCCUUCUAAAGCAGAUCUGGGACUACAGGUUGGGAAUUUAGAAUACUAAAAAUGAACGUUUUUCUUUCUUCACAGGAGAAUGAAAGAGAGGGGUGUGCUAUGGGGGGGCAGUUCCCUUCCGUUGCCUCCUGCUGUGAACCCAGCAAGCAGGCUGGGAUUUCUCCUGGGGCUCUGGGGAUAUGGAGAUCAGGGCAUGAGCUGCCAGCUUCAUGGACACCUCUCUGGGUAGCCCAAAGGGGCAAUUAAAGCCAGAAGCCUGGGUUCAACAGAGGUAACCAGAGUGAUGAGAAAGCAGUUUUGCAUAAUUAGGAAAAUACCAGCAAACCUUUCUUUUGGAUGUGACAUUUUACAUUCUUGUAAUUGUUUUGAUGAAAGAGGGAAAUAAAGGGUGUUAUGCAUGCAAAGCUAGAAUGUUAUCCUCAUUGUAGGGGGAGGCGAGCAUACAUGGUGACUCCUGUGCAUAGAAAUGUUAGAUGACCAAGUGCAAGAAACAUGCCAUUUGCGUGGCAAGAGGGAAAUAAGUGACAGAAAGCCAGAAUUGCACGUUUUGCCCCACCGAACUCUCAUUCUGUUUCUGCUGCUCAGGGUUUAGGCACCCACCAGCUCAUCAUCUCUGUCUCUCUGUCAAAAAUGCCACCAAGAUGCUGCACUGAGUUUUUUUGCUCAGGAUAAGGCAUUUUACUGAACAAAGUCCGUCAAGGUAGGAAGAAACAGUGGCUUUAUUUAACAGCUUCCAGAAAAUGCCUGGUAUUCAUUGACAAAACCCUGCAGGCACGGAUCCAUAUAGCUCAGCUCUGUGUACUGAUGUUGAAGGAGCAGCAGCUCCCCAUGGCAUCAGUCCUGCUGCUGUACCUGUAGGGUGGUGGGGCUUUGUGCUGGCAGUGUCAGGGAUAAGGGCUCAGUUUAUUCAGUGCUAUGUUGCAUUUAGAAAUACUGCAGGAGUUGAACUCCACGAGCCCUAGGAGCCCCUUGCAGCUCAGGAUAUUCUAUGAUUCUUUGAAUGCUCCCUGUUUUUGGGAAAUUUCUUUAGUAUUGGAGCUGUUUGAUUGAUUCAUCAGCGGAGAAUGGAUGAAAUAUGCUUUUCUGAGAUUUUUCUGUGAUAAAAAUUAGAACGUAAGCCAAAGAGCUUUAUCAGUGUCUCUGUAUGGGCAGUUUGUGGCACCUCCAGCAGGGACCAUCUCUCCUGGAUGGCUUUGGCUGUGGAGCUGUAGCUACAGCCUGUGGGGUAGCACAGGGCCGAGGCACACCAUGAGCCGUUCAGCUGAGCGCUAAUAGCUUAGCAUUAAGCUGCCUGGCUAUGGAAGAUAUCAAUGUUUUAAUUUUUCAUGCUGAUUUGUGUUUGAAACGUUCAGUAUGAGUCUGUGUUCCAGAGGUGGAAACCUGAGGGAUAUUUCAGCUCCAUUUUGUUCUGAAGGAAUUUAUAAACAUCAUUUCCAGCAUUUGAAGAGUUGGCUCAAAUUCUCUCACUUGUGCCCUUAGUUCUCAGAGAUUAUAAUUAAAAUGAACGGUCAAAAUCUCUUCUGCUCUUAUUCCUUGAAAAUAUGCUUCCAGGUGAAAAUACCUCUGGGCUCAGCAGGCAAUAUUUAGGCAUCAGUUCAUAGCCUAUUACGGUACAUGAUGGACUUCUGUAUUUUCUGUUGAAAGUCUGACAGUUCUGCAAUUAUGUCUUCUUAUCAGCCAGACCUUCUUGGGAAGCAAUGUAGUGAAACAAAGUAAAAGAAACUGAGGUAAAACAAAUUUUCUUUAGCUUUGCCUGUGUUUUGAUGAAGUCCGAAGUAGGUCGGGUUCCUUAUAGCUGAAUAACAUUGACCCUUUACAACAGCCAGAGAUGUCUGGCUCAAUAUUCAAUCACUGUGUUACCUUCCCUUCUUUCUCUGACAAUACGAUCCCAUUACCACUCAUAGAAAGUCUGUAUGUAAGAUCACUAUUGCUGCUCAUCUUCAAGUUUGCUUGUAAAAUCAGUAUCUUGUAUCUCUAAAGGUAAGAUGCUACAGGCUGUUGUCUUGGUCUAACUCACAGAAAUGUACUUGUGUGGUUAGUUAUGCAUGCAGAUUCAUAUUUUCAAAAAAAUGCCUGUUUGAUCUUAGAUUAAAAUACAGAUACUAACUUUUGCCCAACUUUUCUGCCAGUUUCUUGGCUGCACUGUUUCAUCGGGGUAAGUCUAAGAAUAUCACUGAGUAUUUUUCUGAAAAAGAGACAACACUGAAGUAUUGCCUGCUUAAUCUAAAGCUCAAAAUAUAUCCCUGCUGAAACCUCCUGCACAGCAAAUAAAUAUUUAAUGAACAGUGGUUCUGUCUUUUGACACAAUAUUAAUAACUCCAGAGAAGCUCUGCCGGACUUCAGAUACUGAUGAGACCUGUAAUUUGUCUUCACUUAUGAUGAAGAAGAUAUUUUAUUUCCCUUUUUGAUGCGUGUAUAUGGGUAUACUGCAUACACUGGUUUUCCUUACAAAACAAAACAAAACACACACACAUUACAAUUAAAAUAAUUUUAAUUGAUUGUAACCAAUAGUGCACUGGAAUGAACUGGUUGCUCCCUUCAAAGCCCACCAUGGGCAAGAAUCCCAUCCUAUUACUACUUCUGUAAAUCCCAUGUGAGGAAGUCUAUGAAGACUUGUGUUCAUAUGGAUCUAGGUGUAGGUGUAUCUGUUCUUAAAGUCCAGACUGUGGCCAGUAGUCUAAUCCCAUCCAUGACCUGGUCUAUAAUCUUUACUCAGCUGUUUCGAUAGCAGCUAUUGGCAUUCUGGUGUUGAGGCAGCUGAAGGUUUUCCACCUUUCUCAGAACGAUUGGAGUUUGCACUUCGAGCCGUUAUUUAAAGCACUGUUUCUUUAUUUAAGAAACAAACACAAGAAGAGUGGAACAAUAGAUUCUGGCAACAAUAAAUUAUAGUACAACAGUGUUACUGCUCUUAGUGCUGCGCCUUUUGUGGUCCACUUUAUUUAACAAGAUUAUCUCUGCUUUUCCAUCUGUAUUUACUUGUUAAGGCUGCUUAUGUGUAAAUAAACUCUGUCAGGGGCCACCCUGCAAGGAGGCAGCUCUGGCAUUUGUAUUGCACCAGCUGUGGCUGGGAAGAAGUGCUCCCUGCUUGUCUAAUGAUAAGUCAUCAAUUAUACAUCAGAUAUUACCUAAACUUAAGUUAAUGUUGCAUAUAGCAUAGGUCCUAGUAAAGACAAGACACUGUGAUACGCAUUGGUUAGAGGACUUUUAGGGAUGAGCAUUAAAUUGAUGCUGGCUGUGAGAAAUGGGAUAUUUAAUUUAUUGUAUAGCUCAGCAUUUAUUGUUGCGUUGGAAACGAAGGUAGGGUUUACUCUAAGCUUUAAUUAUGGUGAGAGAAGUUAGGCAGUGUUAUAGAUAAUGAACCAACUACACUUCCAUCUCCAGUUCAUAUUAUUAAUUUAGAGAGGAUGUCACUUAAAAAAAAUGCCAAUGCUUUACAUAUUUUAGACCCCUAUCUUCUGAACUCAAGCCUGUUCAUGCACAUACCCACAGAGCAAAGGAACUGAAGUCCGAAGCACGUUCCUCCUCCUGAGACAGACCAAAAACCAAGAAUCAUGGAGGGAUUUUUGACUUUUUUUUUAAUGAGUUGGGGAUGCUGGGUGUUUCAGCCUAUUUCCUCAGUCUCGUAUAGCCAUGAUUAGGACAAAGUUGUCCUGUGUGACUCAGAGAGGGCUGCAGAUGCGCUCAGCCGCUCAAAAGCUCAAUAUGCUCUGUAUUUAAGAUGAAAAAGUGAAGGUAACUCCACAGAGUUUAAAGUCACGAAGCAACAGCAAUAAAUAAAACCUGUUUUGAAUAUACAAGGGCGACACAGAGAUACCCUCUAGAUAUAGAUGUGCCACUUUUCUACGCUCCUCAGCUCUCGCAUGCCUCUUUGAGAAAACAGGCUCUGAAAACAAGCUUCUGGAUCUGCUCAUAGGGACGAGGAAAUAGCACUGCUCAGAUCCCUCUGAAUGAGAAUAAAUAAUGUGCAAAUGCCAAAUCAGCCUGCAGUGCACAUCUUCCCACGGAAAAUCACUGGCGCUCCUCUGCUAACUCAGCUUAAACUGUAGGUUUUAGGGUCCGCAUUGCUGGCUGUCAAUUAGAAGUGAGACAUUAGCUGAUUAAACUGUUUUUGCUGUGUAUGGUCUCUGGAAAGGAGCAGCUUCAUCAGGUUGCACUGCUUCUUUAUGAUUUCUCUCCGAGGAACACAAAGUGUGCUCUUCCCUUCGCUUGCCUGUUUAACCAUUUGUGUAACAGAAGAAGUGAACUGUGUUUAGAUAGAGUUAUAAAGGCAGUCCAAAUAAAAUCCUGAGCAAAAUAUUGUUAUACUCCUAUCAUAUUUGUCUUUUUUCUCUUCUCCCUUGGUUUCAAUUGCAGAACUGCUUUGGAGAUGCUCACUUUUGCUUCUGUUUCUCUGAUAACAGCAUUGGUCCUGCAGAGCAUCCCUCCCAUCAGGAGGCAGGAGUGGGACUUGGCUGCCUUCAAAGGGACAAAGGCUUUGUCCAAAACUCAUGCAGGAGACUUUGGAAACACUCCCCAUUGGCUUCUCUCUUCCCAUUGGCUGGCAGGGUAAGAAAUUAAAAGAAAAAAAUAAAACCAUAUACUUCAAGAUUUUAAAUAACCCAUCUCUUUAGCAAUACUCAUUACUGACUGGAAGAAAAACCCCACAGCAAACCAGAGCAUCUCCCACCCCCCAAGGAACAGUCCAGAAGGUUGGGUUCAGUUGAUUGUGCACCAAGGUUGUAGUGGGAAGUGCAAACAGCCCUGGAAGCUCUGGGUCUGUAACAGGAACACUGGUAGGAUACCAACUACUGAGGUGCCUCCAGGAACCAUAACAGACACAACCAAUGGGAUGUCACAGCGCUUCAUCCUUCCCAGCCUGCUGCAAGGCUGACAGGUAUAAUGACGACUGAUCAUGGUCUUUGCACAUUAUGUGUGCAGUUUCAACCCAUAAGGGAUGAAAGCAGAGCUUGUGCUUUUGUACAUAGGGCCAGCUGGCACCUUCUUCUUUCGAAGGGGUUAGCUGGAAGACUUGUGUGUUUAGGUAUGCAGAAGGAGUAAAGGCAUAAAUACCCAAUGCCAAGAGUUGACAUCCUCCAGUUGUAAGUCCUUCAGAGAGAGUGCCAAGUCAUGCUGUGACAUUAUUAAUAUUUUGAUGUAUUUCAUUUCUUUUUCUUCACUCUAAAAGGUAAACAGAACUUUAACUAUAAAUCAUCUAACACAUGAAUUUUAGUAAGUUUGUGAAUAUUAGUUUUAUUUCUUAAGUGAUUAAUUUUUUCAAUAGCUUUUUUUUUUUUUUUAAACCUUCAUGUUAAUGAAUUCUAGUAUCAAAAUGGAAACACUGAUUUUGUUUUUUAAACUGUAUUUCAAGAGUGGUCAUACUGGGAAAAAAAAUCUGAACAGUCAGAAAUGAUGCAUAAAAUUCGAAGCGCUCAUCUGUUAGUCAUUUUAUCCAAGAGAAACAAGGCCAAAUUCAUAGACAAUGUGCAGUUGUGUUACACAGAGUUAUGCUAAAUCAUAAGCACACAAAUAUCACAUCCUUUGUAUUUCUCAGCUUCUAGGUAUAGAAAUCUUGCAAGAUCAAUAGCAUUUAUCAGGUCACCGAAGAAAAGAUGAUAGAAAGUAGGCAGUCGUGCCUUUAUUAGGUCGCUUAAACUGAAUGAUAAUAGUUUUUAAAGUAAGUGUAGAGCUUUAGUAUAUAGAUCUCAUAAAACCUGGCAGUAUAUAAAGAUGUAUGAUGCUUUUGUUGUUAAUUACAUUUUUCAGCUUUGCUCAAGAAAAAAUAUGGUCUUUCUUUAAGUUGUUUCUGACUCCACAUUUCAACUUUGGGAACAGAUACAAGAUUUUCUCCUCUGGGAAAUGUGCAAUUGUAGAAAUUUCUGUUAUUUUUAAUAUUUUUGUGGAAGAUAAAUACUCCUGCCUGCUAAACCAGCACAGGAGCUCUUUCUAUUUAGCAAAUGCUGGUUGUCAGCCUCCCAGUGCAAUAAUCUUCCUGUUAGAGAGUGGGGUGAAUUGAUGCUUGUCAUAGAGAGAAAUUCUGCAGGAUUUCCCUACAUCCUGAUGCUUGCUAUCCAUCCCCAUGCCAGAAUCAUGUGUGAGCAGUGAGCAGCACAUACUGCUGACAAGAAAAUGUUGCCCUGGAAUUCAGUCCUGGUUUCUCUUUCUAACUCUACCACCCUAACCUCAAACACACAGUGUAAGUGAAAGCAACAUAACUUCACACGUGUGAACUUCAUGACUAUCCCUUAAAAAUGCAAAAUCCAAAUGAAAGGAAUUUUACCUUAGGAUAGCUGAUGUUAUAUUCUAAAUGUGAUUGGAACGGGGUUGUACUAGGAAGUUCAUUCCUUCCAUAGAGGAGAUCCAAUGUCUGGAUCUGGUUUCUGGUUGAAAUAGCAACCUGUCCACCCUCCUAAGAUGUCCCAACAUUUUACUUAAAGUUUAAAUUCUUUGGGCACUGAAAAAAACCCAAAUCCUGCUUCUUGUGCUUCUUGUGCUGCUGUGCCACAUUGUGGACUGAGCACGCAGCCUAAACAUGGAUUUGGUUUUGUUGUUUUGAGCCUUGAAAAAAAAGAACUGCGUGCCCGAGCACUGUUGAUCUAUUUCAGUUGGUUUCCUAUUUCCUUAUGAUUAUGAAUAUUUUCCAAAAACUGAAUAAUCAAUGGCAUUUGGCAUCUGCUGCGAAAACGCAGCCUGCUUUUUGCUGGAAGAGUCGUUAAGUGGGCAAUGCACAGUAAAUAAAAGAGUUUAUUUUAGCACUGGGGCUCUGCAAGGUCUGCAAAAUGCAGUCAUUAGAUGGAAGUGGUCCUUGCUGCCGAUACUCCUGUUAGAGUUGGAAUGAAGUAAGGCUCUUUAGGGCUCUGUGGCCACCAGUUCACUCUCAGAUGAGUACCUUUGAAAAGACGAGCAAUCUAGAAGCAAAAGAGCCUCAGAGCUCUGAGGUUGGUCCCAUUCACCUCGGUCCCGUAGAUGCCCUCUGAGCCCACCAAAACCUGCCCUAGCCAGGAUGGCUGGAAAACAGCCCUCUAUGUGCAUGCAGGAAAAUGGGAAACUGAAUUGAAUGGCAAAGGGAGAAAGGAGCUGGAGAAAAGCAUAGGACUACUGAGCACUGUUCGUGAAGAGUCUGAAGCUGUCCGAAGCCCCGAGUUGAUUUUCUUUCUGACAGUCUUAUGAUAUAAAGAUUACUCUUCCUUCAAGUAGUAAUAAUUUUCUUUGGAAGUGUAAUUGCAGCCAAAAAAAAAAAAAAAAAAAAAGCAAGUAAACAAAAAAGUGUCAUUUUGAAGUCUCCAGAACAAACGCUCUGAUUAACCUAAUCGGGCUCCUUUUCCUGAAUAUUUAACUAAUGAUUUUCUUGAGUUGUUAUUUUGUUCAAAUUCACGAUCAGAAACAUGAACAUUUUCCCAAAACAGAAAAAGAAGCCGGCUCUGAGAAAUCCCCCGGGCAGGAGUGGGGAAUGGAACUGCUGAUAGAUUUGUUUUCAUUAGGUACCUGAAUGCAUUACAAUAAUUAUGUCAGUUCGGAGCUUUUCCCAUCUGCAGCCCAGCCCUACAGCAAUUUGAUUAGAAAAUAAUAAUAAUAAUAAUAAAACAAAAAAACAAAAACACGAGGGGAACAGGCUGGAAAUAUGAAGACAAGGGACACUGAGCUUUACAAGUGCAAGGAAAUGAUGAAGCAGGUUCCUCAUUAUUCAGCAAUGGGCUUAAUUCAGAGCGCUUUCACAGGAACAAAAGCACACACUCGACAAUGAUUUGUAUGAUUUCUGUACUACCAUAUUCUGGGCAGGAAACCAACUCCUGCUAAAAAUGCUUCUUUGAGUGGUGCUGACUGGAAGCGCUCACAUAAUGCAGGCGCUAACAUCUGUGGGACUUCUUUUUCUCUUAAGGAUAUAGGUAAUGUUAUAGUGAAAUAAAAAUAAACUGUUUCAAAACUCAUCCCCACAGCAGAUGUGAUUGCAAUUGGUGAUGUAACAAUGCAGAGCCAUUUCUGGAGGUGGGUUCUUAAUGGGCAAGAGGGGGUCACCAUCAGCAAACUGCAUCCAUUGCAGGACACGGCUUUUGCAAAAGCCCCAUAUGAUCGUUUUUCUGAAGAAUCACCUUGAUGAAGAAGCCAAAGCCUCUUCAUUUGCACCAGGGGAGGUUCAGGGAGGAUAUUAGGUGUAAGGCAACUGUUAGAUCACAGCCUGAACCAGCAAUUGAGCAGCUGGUGAAGGCACGUGGCAAGCCCUGGCAGCACAGGUGGAAGCAAUUCACCUGUGUGAUUGGAAGGAGUGGACCCUGGGUUCACCCCCUCCCUAAACUCGUUUAAGGGCUGGCUGCCAAAAAAUGAGCCUCUCUGUUUAGAAAUCACCUUCUUGGGAGUUUCUAGUAAGCCACGGUCCUUGGAAAGGGGCCAGCAGCAUGGAGCAGUGCGAUGACUCAGUGAGUGACUCACAGUGCAGAGCCUGACCCAGCGCAUUGAAAGCCCAAGUGCUCCCAUCAGAUCAGCACUCCUCCUCCCCAGCCACCCUGGAGCAGCUCCUCGUGCCAUGCUCAGCACAGAGCCCUGUGGAUGUGCAUGGGGUGUAGGUGAGCGUUGGGUGCACUCUGCUCUGAGCACCCUCAGCUCAUGGCAGAAAUGCAGGUGGACCCAAACUGGAGGAGAUUCUCUUCUCUCUGGUGUAGGGAUGGUUGUCUGCUGCUUUGUCCCAAGAGAAAUAAAUACAGACAGCUGGGACACUGCUGGGUUCAUUGGGGAUUGUUGCAGUGUAACUACUCCUGAGUCACUACACUGAUCUAAAUUGCAUACGAUCCAGCCUAUGCUGCAGCCUACAUGUAAGGCUGGCUAAAACAUUUUUUAUUAUUGUCAUAAAUUGUUACAACUAAAUGCUGUUGUUAUGAGUCAGCACUGCCAGUGUGAUGGGGGGACAUCCCCUGAGAUGAUUUUUCUUUCAUUAGUGACUGAUUCUGAUUUUUGAAGAUAUAACAGAAUAAACCAUGGCCAUUUGUUUA